AUUUUUACCUGGCAGGGGAGAUACCAUGAUCACGAAGGGUGGCUUUCCCAGGGCAAGGCUUAUCCAUUGCACUCCAUAUGUGCUGACCCCUGCAAUUUCUUCAAAUGUGGAAAACUCAACUGCAUAAUUUAUGGUAGUGGGUGACUACAUUCGCCCU
rnacentral:snRNA from 1 species